rnacentral:rRNA from 1 species
UACAGAGGGGGCAAGCGUUAUUCGGAAUUAUUGGGCGUAAAGGGCGCGUAGGCGGCCUGGCAAGUGGAUGGUGAAAUCCCUCGGCUUAACCGAGGAACUGCCAUCCAGACUGCUUGGCUUGAGACCGGGAGAGGUGAGUGGAAUUCCCAGUGUAGCGGUGAAAUGCGUAGAUAUUGGGAGGAACACCAGUGGCGAAGGCGGCUCACUGGACCGGUACUGACGCUGAGGCACGAAGGUCAGGGGAGCAAACGGG